rnacentral:rRNA from 1 species
AGGAUGAACGCUGGCGGCGUGCUUAACACAUGCAAGUCGAACGAUGAAGGCUGGAGCUUGCUCUGGCUGGAUUAGUGGCGAACGGGUGAGUAACACGUGAGUAACCUGCCCCAGACUCUGGGAUAAGCGCUGGAAACGGCGUCUAAUACCGGAUACGAGCUUCCACCGCAUGGUGAGGAGCUGGAAAGAAUUUCGGUCUGGGAUGGACUCGCGGCCUAUCAGCUUGUUGGUGAGGUAAUGGCUCACCAAGGCGACGACGGGUAGCCGGUCUGAGAGGAUGAUCAGUCACACUGGAACUGAGACACGGUCCAGACUCCUACGGGAGGCAGCAGUGGGGAAUAUUGGACAAUGGGCGAAAGCCUGAUCCAGCCAUGCCGCGUGUGUGAAGAAGGUCUUCGGACUGUAAAGC